ensembl:lncRNA
UUUUCUAGCUGGUUAAAAAAUCUGAGAUGACUUUGCUUUUUUGGCUCAGGAAACAAUAAUGUAAUUGAUUAGAGAGAGUCAUGAAUAUAUAAUAACUUUCUUGUUUAUUUGUUGUCUUGUCUUUGAGGAUUGUUAACGAGGGAAAAGCACCCUUCAAUUUCCCCUCUGACAGCCUCCCAGGCACAGAGGCCUUAUUCCCUUUACUUCACAUAGGGAAUGAUUCUUUGGAAAUAUUUCCAGACAACAAUUCCUAAAUAGAGACAAGACAGAUUUUUCUACUUUUGUAGAAAUUUACUUUUGUCAGCUGCAGUCGUUCUAGGCUGUGAUCAGGUCUGGAGAGUCGUUUAUUGAGGAGGAUCUUACGCCAAGCAACCAGUGUGUCGUCCCUGGGGAAGAGGCUGAAGAUCUGUUGGAGAGCUGACGGUGGAAACGGAUGUCUGUCUUCUGGAUUUGGGUGAUAUUUCCUCGUUUCCUAGAAAACUUGAAGUGGGUUCUGUCAUUAGGCAUGAUUGAGAGGGGAUACUUUUCAGCUGUGUAAAUAGCACAGCGGUUUCCUCCUGCCUUUCUUCUUUUCUAGCCAUGGUUCCAAGGCUUGUCCCUCCCAAGUGAGCAGGCAGCGCUGGAGAUGAGAACGAUCACUCCCGCCAUUACCAGGGAGGUGUGGGCCACUGCUAUUUCAGAGAUCCACUAGCCUGCCGCGAGGUCGGCGCGGGCCCGCUACGCAAAGAGCGCAAAGCUCCCAGCGCUGCGCACCACGGCCGCAGCAAGGCGCCAGAAUGGCGUUUCCCGAUGCCCAGGAUUUGGGAACCGCGGGUUUGAGUUUCAGGGCGUCCGGCAGCCCCAGGGAAACGUCGUCGCGGCUUAUCGCGCCAACUUUGUGCAGCUUCAACCUGAGUAAAAAAAUCUCCUUUGCUGUUGAGGAGGCAGCACCGCCGUGGUCUCCCUUGAGACAUCUUCCUCAGGUAGCCAGCAGGGCACUUUUUAUUUUCGGGAUUUCCCCCUGGGUUUAGGGCUUUUAUUUCCCAUAGAGACUUUAGUGAGACUUGUUUUACGGAAGGACCAGUUGAUUCCGGGACUUGAGGGCUCGAGAUCGCACGGGUUUAAUCUUCGGGAUUCCGUUUGUGUGGGGGCGCGGGGCAGGGACGUCUUGGGGAAGGGGACACGCUGGACCUUGGGGCGAGCGGACGGGUCCUGGGAGCGCCCGGGGCUGGGGACGCCGCGUACCGAGCCAGGAGGAGAGAGGCGCCCGUGCCUGCCCCAGGGUGUGCCAGGGGCUAAGCUUUCAGCUUCAGACGUCAACAUCGCUGAAACCAUAACUCAACUCAGUUUACUGAAAGGCCUUCCUCAGGACCCCACCUUGACUUGUGUUGCUGAAAAGAGAAAUGAGCAGUGUUGCCUACAAGGAAUAGAGAAGCAGAAUAUUGAACACUCUCCUCAAACUCAGUACCUACUAUCUUCAAGAACGUGA